UACGGAGGGAGCUAGCGUUGUUCGGAAUUACUGGGCGUAAAGCGCGCGUAGGCGGCUUGAUAAGUCAGGGGUGAAAUCCCGGGGCUCAACCCCGGAACUGCCUUUGAAACUAUCUGGCUAGAAUCUUGGAGAGGUCAGUGGAAUUCCGAGUGUAGAGGUGAAAUUCGUAGAUAUUCGGAGGAACACCAGUGGCGAAGGCGGCUCACUGGUCCAUUACUGACGCUGAGGUGCGAAAGCGUGGGGGAGCAAACAGG
rnacentral:rRNA from 1 species